UAUGUAGAAAUGAUUAUUUUAUGGAUAAAAAGAAAAAAAUAAAUUGCUCUUGGGGGCCCCUGGUGGCCGCGGUAGGUACCGCAUGCUUCGCCAGUAACAUGAGUGCAUCCAAACGUCCAAAGUUCCGGUCAGAAGUAAAGUUAGCAAAACAAUGUCUCAAAAAGGACUUAUCCUUCAGGGAGGGAGAAAAGAAAGAGGAAGAAUAAAAAAAAGCCAAGAUAAAGAACUUAAGAGUCAAGCCCGGAACCAUAUCCUGCCAGAGGAUUAAUCUAUGCUGUUUUCCGAUUGCUCCUCACCCAGCCGGGCUCCAGACUUCACGGCCUGCCUGCUCUCUCCCAUUACCACCUAGGACCCUCAGAUACACUCACCUGGAUCCACGCCUCUCCCUCAGUGACUCAUCUCCACCAAAGAGACUAACCUGAGCCGGCCAGCAACCCCCAAACUCCCUGCAGAGCUCAUCACUGAAGAUUUAUGAAUCACUGACAAAUUCUCUGUGAAAUAAAUCUUCAUUGUACCAAA